UAUCUUGGAACUCCGAAUCCUACCUCCUCGUGGUGCUAGCUGGAAUGCGACGUCAAUUGCUGACGAUCGUAUACUAACAGGAUCGG
rfam:Anopheles gambiae str. PEST chromosome 2R, whole genome shotgun sequence.